rnacentral:rRNA from 1 species
GACGAACGCUGGCGGCGUGCUUAACACAUGCAAGUCGAACGGAAAGGCCUGCUUUCCCUUGUGGAUUGCGGGUGCUCGAGUGGCGAACGGGUGAGUAACACGUGAGUGAUCUGCCCCCAACUUGGGUAUAAGCCUGGGAAACUGGGUCUAAUUCCCGAUAGGACUGCAGGGUGGUGCCUGUGGUGGAAAACGAUUUUCUAGUGGUUGGGGAUGAGCUCGCGGCCUAUCAGCUUGUUGGUGGGGUAAUGGCCUACCAAGGCGGCGACGGGUAGCCGGCCUGAGAGGUUGGACGGCCACAUUGGGACUGAGAUACGGCCCAGACUCCUACGGGAGGCAGCAGUGGGGAAUAUUGCACAAUGGGCGGAAGCCUGAUGCAGCGACGCCGCGUGGGGGAUGACGGCCUUCGGGUUGUAAACUCCUUUCGACCGCGAGGAAGCCACCUGGUUGGAAGGGUGGUGACGGUAGUGGUAGAAGAAGCACCGGCUAACUACGUG